CUACAUCUACCCUGUAGAUCCGAAUUUGUUUGAAAUCGAGCGACAAAUUCGGUUCUAGAGAGGUUUGUGUG
rnacentral:pre_miRNA from 1 species